AUUGAACGCUGGCGGCAGGCCUAACACAUGCAAGUCGAGCGGAUGAAGGGAGCUUGCUCCUGGAUUCAGCGGCGGACGGGUGAGUAAUGCCUAGGAAUCUGCCUGGGAGUGGGGGAUAACGUCCGGAAACGGGCGCUAAUACCGCAUACGUCCUGAGGGAGGAAGUGGGGGAUCUUCGGACCUCACGCUAUCAGAUGAGCCUAGGUCGGAUUAGCUAGUUGGUGGGGUAAAGGCCUACCAAGGCGACGAUCCGUAACUGGUCUGAGAGGAUGAUCAGUCACACUGGAACUGAGACACGGUCCAGACUCCUACGGGAGGCAGCAGUGGGGAAUAUUGGACAAUGGGCGAAAGCCUGAUCCAGCCAUGCCGCGUGUGUGAAGAAGGUCUUCGGAUUGUAAAGCACUUUAAGUUGGGAGGAAGGGCAGUAAGUUAAUACCUUGCUGUUUUGACGUUACCAACAGAAUAAGCACCGGCUAACUUCGUG
rnacentral:rRNA from 1 species